AGUGAACGCUGGCGGUAGGCCUAACACAUGCAAGUCGAACGGCAGCACAGUAAGAGCUUGCUCUUACAGGUGGCGAGUGGCGGACGGGUGAGGAAUACAUCGGAAUCUACUUUUUCGUGGGGGAUAACGUAGGGAAACUUACGCUAAUACCGCAUACGACCUACGGGUGAAAGCAGGGGAUCUUCGGACCUUGCGCGAUUGAAUGAGCCGAUGUCGGAUUAGCUAGUUGGCGGGGUAAAGGCCCACCAAGGCGACGAUCCGUAGCUGGUCUGAGAGGAUGAUCAGCCGCACUGGAACUGAGACACGGUCCAGACUCCUACGGGAGGCAGCAGUGGGGAAUAUUGGACAAUGGGCGCAAGCCUGAUCCAGCCAUACCGCGUGGGUGAAGAAGGCCUUCGGGUUGUAAAGCCCUUUUGUUGGGAAAGAAAAGCAGCAGGUUAAUACCCCGCUGUUCUGACGGUACCCAAAGAAUAAGCACCGGCUAACUUCGUG
rnacentral:rRNA from 1 species